AUUGAACGCUGGCGGCAGGCUUAACACAUGCAAGUCGAGCGAGCGGCGGACGGGUGAGUAAUGUAUGGGGACUGCCCGAUAGAGGGGGAUAACUACUGGAAACGGUAGCUAAUACCGCAUACUAUCGGAUAACCCAUAUGGGAUUAGCUAGUAGGUGAGGUAAUGGCUCACCUAGGCGACGAUCCCUAGCUGGUCUGAGAGGAUGAUCAGCGCCACUGGAACUGAGACACGGCCCAGGCUCCUACGGAGGCAGCAGUGGGGAAUAUGGGGCAGUGGGCGCAAUCCUUGUGCAGCCAUGCCGCGUGUAUGAAGAAGGCCCUAGGGUUGUAAUGUACUUUCAGUCGGGAGGCGUUACCGGCAGAAGAAGCACCGGCUAACUCCGUGCCAGCAGCCGUGGUAAUAC
rnacentral:rRNA from 1 species